CUAAGAAUCUUCCGCAAUGGGCGAAAGCCUGACGGAGCGAUGCCGCGUGAACGAUGAAGGUAGAGAUAUUGUAAAGUUCUUUUAUGGGGGAGGAAUAAGGCUUGCAGGUAAUGGCAGGUCGAUGACGUUACCCCAUGAAUAAGCCCCGGCCAAUUACGUGCCAGCAGCCGCGGUAACACGUAAGGGGCGAGCGUUGUUCGGAUUUAUUGGGCGUAAAGCGCGCGCAGGCGGUUUUACAAGUCUGGUGUGAAAUAUCUGGGCUCAACUCAGAAGACGCAUUGGAAACUGUGAGACUAGAGUUUUGGAGGGGGAGCUGGAAUUCCUAGUGUAGGGGUGAAAUCUGUUGAUAUUAGGAAGAACACCGGAGGCGAAGGCGAGCUCCUGGCUGGAAACUGACGCUGAGGCGCGAAAGCGUAGGUAGCAAACAGG
rnacentral:rRNA from 1 species